GACGUAGGUGGCAAACGUUAUCCGGAUUUACUGGGCGUAAAGGGCGCGUAGGCGGCCACCGCAAGUCGACUGUGAAAUCUCCGGGCUUAACCCGGAAAGGUCAGCCGAUACUGCGGGGCUAGAGUGCAGAAGGGGCAACUGGAAUUCUCGGUGUAGCGGUGAAAUGCGUAGAUAUCGAGAGGAACACCUGCGGCGAAGGCGGGUUGCUGGGCUGACACUGACGCUGAUGCGCGAAAGCUAGGGGAGCGAACGGG
rnacentral:rRNA from 1 species